AGCAUUGCACGUGACAAAAGUUUAGUCGUAAUCGCAAGGUCGUAAGUAAAUCAACCAAUUACAGGCCAAUAUUCUAGCUAAUACUGGUCUGUAGUUGGUUAAAUUGUUUACGACUUUACGGUUACGAUUAAAACUUUUUCAUGUGCAAGAGUAUCAAUCCACCAUCAUCUUAUCUUUUGCUACCUGUUGCCGCGUGGUUGCCGCCGUGUGANACGUAUUUUGACUCCGUGCGCCAGUAAUUUGCUGUGUCUUGUUUAUUCUGGAUGGAUUAGCUUUCGGGAUGGCUCUGUUGAAGAUAAGGGNUAUCUUCCUUUUUAACUUUUGAAGAUCUGGAGAGCCUCAAUAUUGUUAACCUCAAUUUUUGUGUGGCCAUUUGAUGAUAUGCUUGUGAUUUGCAUUGAAAAUUGAUUCGAAACUGGAUACACGCUACCUCAGUUAAAGAGAUCAAUAGGCGUCUUUGAAAUGAAGAAGUCAGGCAGGCCAUUUUAGCUGUUGAUGCUGAAGAACAUGCAGAGAAUGAGAGAGUUGAUGUUAAACUUGAGCAAGCAGUGGAUGAUGUGGUUCACGCCAACAAUGAUAAAAACAUUAAUGACAAACAGAAAGACUAUGAUCAGAAUUAUGUGAUCAUGGUGCAUUUCCAUCACAAGCAAGCAGUUCUAAAGCUUCAAAGAAAUUGCAUGAUAACCCUGGUGUUCAUGAAUCAGUAAAAGAGAUAGUAUGUGAAAGUCAGUCAUGUCAGUUCAUGCCCGAGCAGAAGACAUCUGAUUCUUUAAAAGACACAGAAACGACUAGCAAAAGUCUUGUAAACCAAAUGCAUCUUAAUCUCCUUUAAGAGCUUCAUAGAAAAGUGGAUUGGCUUAGUAUCAAUAUGAGCCGAAUAUUAGACGAGCUUUUCCCUGAUGAGUCUAGGUUUGACCGUCCACAAGGAUUUCCUUCUUUACCUUUAAACACAGAGAAUGAUUUGGCAGAAUUUGAAUCUUAUUUAAAGAAUGAACCAAUUUUCAAUAAUAUGAUAAAGUAUCUUGGAAAAAAGGGAAAGGGCGAGCCUCAUCUUUUACGUACUCCAUUCUGGCCGUCCUCAUCUUNAACCAACUUGCUCGCAUAAUAAGCUGGAAGGGCACAGGUGGAGUCAAGCUUAGCUUUGAAAAAUCAACAACUAAGAAACUGGUAGAAUGUAUACAUGUAUGCUUAAAGAAGUUUGGUUAGCUGCUAGUUUAUGUUUUUGAAGAUAAGAUGAAAAGAUGGUUUAACAUCUCAAUGCAACGUUCUUAAAAUUUUGAUUUUAAAUGUGAUUUUUUGUGUAAAGCUGUGGUUUUUUGUUUGAAUUUUUUUAGUGCUUCAAGUUAUUAAUGCUUUUAAAGCAUGAAUAACUUCAAGAUAAAAAGGCUAUGUAUUAAAAUUUUAAGUUUUAAUUAAUGUAAAAUUUUAAGACUUAUACACAUGCUUGUGUUAAGUUGAUCUCUAAAAUCAACUUUACACAAUUGUGUACUUUACACAAAUUAGCGCCUUUAUAUGACAUUGUUCUGCAUUAUUCUUUCAUAUUUGCUUGUAUUCUACAUAUGUUUAGUACUUCUCUGUUCUAAGGACAAUUCAUUUCAUAGAGCUAAAAAUAAUCUUUGACUUUGUUUUUAUUUUUUGAUUAUGUGCAAUUUAUGUGUUCUGUUUUCAACAACUGUAGUGUCAUGAGAAACAAACUGAUCCAAAGUGAUAGUAUUAAUAACUAUUAAUAAAGUGAGAAGGUUGUGUAACGUUAUCAUGAUCUCUCUUAGCUUUUUACGUUAAGUUUUGGUAACAAAAAAGUUUCAGUUUUAUUAAGAUAAUGUUAAAAAUAUACCUUACACAUAUGCGUCUAUAUAAUUGUUCGUUACAUGUUUCAUUUGUUGCCUUUGUUCUAAUUAGCUUGAAGUUAUAAAANAUUAAUGUCAGAUGUAAAUUACAUCACACAUGUUAUUUAUAUUUAUGUACCUUUAUUUUGAUACUAAUGUUUUAAUAAACAGACUCUUGAAUAACA